rnacentral:rRNA from 1 species
GAUGAACGCUGGCGGCGUGCUUAUCACAUGCAAGUCGAACGGUGAAGGCGGAGCUUGCUCUGCUGGAUCAGUGGCGAACGGGUGAGUAACACGUGAGCAAUCUGCCCCUGACUCUGGGAUAAGCGCUGGAAACGGCGUCUAAUACUGGAUACGAGCUGCGAAGGCAUCUUCAGCAGCUGGAAAGAACUUCGGUCAGGGAUGAGCUCGCGGCCUAUCAGCUUGUUGGUGAGGUAACGGCUCACCAAGGCGUCGACGGGUAGCCGGCCUGAGAGGGUGACCGGCCACACUGGGACUGAGACACGGCCCAGACUCCUACGGGAGGCAGCAGUGGGGAAUAUUGCACAAUGGGCGCAAGCCUGAUGCAGCAACGCCGCGUGAGGGACGACGGCCUUCGGGUUGUAAACCUCUUUUAGCAGGGAAGAAGCGAAAGUGACGGUACCUGCAGAAAAAGCGCCGGCUAACUACGUG